UACGGAGGGUGCGAGCGUUGUCCGGAAUCAUUGGGCGUAAAGGGCGCGUAGGAGGCGGGACAAGCGUGCGGUGAAAGCUCGGGGCUCAACCCCGGGUCGGCCGUGCGAACUGUUUUGCUUGAGCACUGUAGAGGCAGGCGGAAUUCCGGGUGUAGCGGUGGAAUGCGUAGAGAUCCGGAAGAACACCGGUGGCGAAGGCGGCCUGCUGGGCAGUAGCUGACACUGAGGCGCGACAGCGUGGGGAGCAAACAGG
rnacentral:rRNA from 1 species